rfam:Schistosoma rodhaini strain Burundi genome assembly, scaffold: SROB_scaffold0001605
AUCCAGCUGACGAGUCCCAAAUAGGACGACAUGCGCGUCAAACUGGAU